rnacentral:tRNA from 1 species
GGGGGUAUAGCUCGGGGUAAAGCAUUUUACUACAGAUAAAGAGGUCCCCAGUUCAAAUCCAGGUGCCCCCU